GUCACUUAAUUAGGAUGUCAAUUUAGCUUACUGACAGCUUAAAAAUCAAUUGAAAAAAAUGUUGGUUCAAAAUUCAAUUACUAGAGAACAUUAUAUUAACCCAAAAUAUAAGAAGUGUGUAUUUUUUGUUUAAAUAAAAAUUACCUAAUAUAAUUAACAUAUAUAUGAUAUUUAAUGAUUAUGAAUAAUAAAGAUUUGAUUGCAUCCUUCUUCAUUUUUGUUUAAUUUUAUAUUAUUAAAAAAAAU
rnacentral:lncRNA from 1 species